UAGGCAGAAGUAGACUAUUCACUGCUUUUAUUAUUGGAUUUUUGUGAAUCCCAGGGUUUUAAAAAUUAUCAUUAAUAGAUUAAGGAAUUAGUGAAGUUACAUACCUGAGAAUGAAGAAAAAGAAGCCUAGAUCUGGACCAGUGAUGAUAGUUGGUGGCGUAUGAGUCAUGGAUGAUGAAUAUGAUGUGUCUGAAACUCUGAGGCCCAAUUAAAAAACCAAAUAAAGUCUCUUCUGUGUGAAGCGGUCUUAUGUACCGAUGUUGGGGGGGGGGAGGGCCCUUUUAUUGGUUUAUUUUCAUGACUUUUGAUUCUACUGUAAUAAAUGGCUAAAAGUAGAAUCAAUCUGCAAGUGUAAAUGAGAUUAAGAGGGCGAAGCACGUCUAUUCUUUGUAAAAAUUAUUAACGUUUAUUGAGAAUAUUGAAGUUUAUUAAGAAAUGUGUUUCCAGUGUCUUACCUCUUUGGCUAAGAAUGAUAGAGACAGUAAAUCACAGUCAACAUUCUCAUUCUUAGUCUGUGUCAGGUUUGAUACUGCCUCGUUUGUUUAGAGAAAAUAAUAAAUAUGACCCUAACGUACUAUAUUCCUAAGUGACAGACUAAGUGAAGUUAAAAUAGUCACAUCCACAGAGCGUCUCUCAAUCUUGUUAUGUGCUCUGCUUUUUAUUCCUCAGGUGCACACACGUGAACUGAUUAAGCACUUGGCUGUCAACAGGGGCUCCACUGGUGGUCCUUAUGUUGGUGCAUGUAGACCAAGAACAGAUGCCCCAAGGAGAUUUCAGCUUCUGUCAUGGUAAAGAUUGUCAAGAGACCAAGGUGACCAAUGGUCAAAGUUCUAGUCUUCGUUUGGGUCAUUUGUUUAAAGGUAUUUAUGGUAGUAUUAAAAUGGAAUAAAUAUAAUAAAAAUUUAAUGAUGUCCACAUGUAAAUAUAUAUGAAAUAUUAUAUUAAUUCUUCAAUAACGGAAUAUGUUAACCAAUCAACCUUAAAGUUGAUUACUCAAAGAGAUAUAGUUAGUCCAUGUGGGAAAUGAUUCUAUGGACUAUGAUCAGAAUAUUCAAAUAUCUUCUUGUUGGGUUUGGAAAUCACAUAUUCAUUAUAUUAUUAUCAAUGAAUUAAUAGCCUAUUCAAUAUAAAUGUAGAAAUGAAUGAAGAAAAAGACAUUCCAAUAUAGACCAGUGAUCACAACUGGUAGCAUGUUAAUUAGGAACGAUGAAUGUCUGGAGCUCCAAGGUCCAACACAAAACAUAGUUAGCUGAGUUCCUCUCUUGGAAAUGAUACUAUAGACAGGUAUCAGAAAUAUACAAAAAUCAUGUUUUUAUUUGGGUUCAUAGAUUUGGAUUUUAUUAUUACUGGUGGAUCAAUGAUGGGACCAUUAAACAAAUAAAAAAUAGAGAAAGAAGAAGAAUAUUACACAUUGCCCAACAUGGGUGACGCAAGAAAUAUUACCAAUAACAAUGAAAAAAGACACUGAUGCCUCCCAAGAAAUGAAUGAAUCUUUGCCUAAGGAUCAUAUAAACUCUGAUAAGUAAGAGUCAGUUGUAUUUCCUGGGUUAGUCUCGAGUUUGUUUCCUCUGUUAAGAGAACAAAAGUCUACAUCACGAACAUUUUACAGGUACCUGAAUGACUAAGUAAAUGAAAUGUGGUUCGCAAGAGGCAAUGGGAUAAGGUCCCAGUGUCCUUCAUCGUCUGCUGUGCUCUGUACUCUUCAGAAUGGACGCACUCACGCUGAUUCAGGCGCUUCCAUGGUUACGUGCUUUCUGAUUGCAUACGUGUGUUUGGAGCAUAGAGACCAAUGUGAGUAGUGGUUGAAGUGUUUGUCUUUCUAGUGUCCCUUUUUUUUUUUUUAAGAUGUUAACUAUAUGUCGUUAAAAAGUACAAAUUGUAAUCAAGCAGGGGAAACUAUGGAAUUGAUUCUAUCGAUUAAAAGGGGUUGAUUGUAUUGAUUAAUGCAUACACGAAAAACGCUAAUUAAUGAGAGCCAUACAUCGAUCCUUUUUGUCUCCUAUAUGAGAGUGAAAAUGAUCUUACAGACGGAUUAGAGAUAUGAAGCCUCUUUUUGUGUUUUUGUGAAUAAGAGGGUCUUAAAAUUAUUAUUAGUGAAUUAAUGAAUUAGUCGAUAAAUAACGUACAACUGAAUGAAGGAAAAGAGGGACAAUAAUGGAUCGAUGAUGACCACUGGUGGCGUAUGAGUCCUAUACGAUGAAUACAUGUCUGGAACUCUGAGGUCCCAAUGAAAGGCAAUCUAGUCCAGUGCCCUUUGUGAAGCGAUACCAUUAGACAGAUACCAUGAAUUUAAAGGGAUCAUGUUUUGGGUUUAUGUUCAUGCAUUCUCUAUUUUUAAGGAGAUAAUCAAUAAUGUAUAAACAAGCAAAGAUUAAGGUCAUGAAGCAUUGUCCAAUUACAAAAAUAUGUAGUGAGACAAGAAAUGCUAUUAAUAUAUAUUGAAAACACACUCCCAUCCACCAAUAGUAAAUGAUACAGAGGUGUUGCCUCUCGGGCUAAGGAUUGUAUAGCUGUAGUGUUAAAUAGUAAUUGGCAAUGUUCAUAAUCCAUGUCAGCGGCAAGGUCAUUAUUGUUCUUUUAUUAGGAGAAAUUAAAUAAACAUUCCUCCCAACUGCAGAUUCCCGAAAUGACCCACUAAAUGAAAGAUGGGAUGCAAAGACCAGUGGAAAUGAGGUGUCUAGCUUUUUGUUAUCAUCCGCUCUGUUCUCUGCAGAGUGGAUGCACUCAAGUUGACUUAAGCAUCUUCCAUGAUCACAAGUUCUAUGGCUGCAUCUAUGUGUUAGAGAGUGGAAAUCAAGAGAAGUAAGAGUCAGUGUUCUCUCAGUUUGGGAGGCUUGUUUAAGGGUAUUCGCUGUGGUAUUAAAAAUGUGAAAUAUAAUCAGCGAAUGCCAACCAUUGCCCCCAAAUGCCAUUAACGUGAAGCGUUGUGUUUAUUAAUCCAUAUACAACACAUUGAGGUCAGUUAAUGAAAGAAAUGAAUUGCUCAGGGAAAUAAUUCUAUAGACAGAUGUUACAGAUUAGUUCAUGCCAACCGUGCACUAAUGAUAAAGAGUUUGAAAUGAGCAUGUUGGCUAAUCCAUACUCAAUACUGAGGUCAGUUAGCAAAGCAGAUCUAGACUAUUUUCCCUGUAGAAAAUGAUUUUAUGUACCGAAGUUAGGGGUAUUAAAGCUAUUUUUAAAAAUCUCAUGGGUAUUUUUUAUUAGUGAAUUAGUGAAUUAAUCUCUAACAAAAUUAUAAUUCAGUGAAGAAAAAGAGUGAUAUCUGGACCAAUACUGAGGGCCAGUAGCAUAUGAGGCAAGGUUGAAGAAGGCUGAUCUACAACUUUGUGAUUCAAUGCAAAUCCAGUGCAAAAAGAAAUCUAGUCCAUUGCUUCUGUGAUAAAUGGUCCUGUAAGCAGUAGUUAGAGAUAUUCAAGAAUAUUAUUCUUGGGCUUUUGAGUUUCACAAAUAUUGACUGCUUAUUAAAAAUUAAUCAAUGCAAUAAUAACUAAAAAUGUAUGAAUGAAGAAAGGGAAAAUAGGGCCAAAUGUGGAAUAGCUAUAGCAUAUGUAAUGAAACUAACAUCAUUACCAAUCCAUUUCUAAGGAACAGAAGUCCAUUAAAAAUUUAUGAAGGCGUUUACACCUCAUCAGAAGGGAUGUGUGGACAGAGGUGUGUAAUUGUUGAUGUUCACGUUCUGUGCUGUCUUUGGCUUGCAGGUGUUUUUGUUUUCAUUUUUUUAAUUGAGAAAUAGGGGGAAAGUUUAUAUAAUAUAAUCAACUAACUAUAUUAAGGAGGCUCAAGCAUGAACCAGUGACAAAAUUGAGUCAUAUAACAAGUUAUGAUCAAUCCAACUGGCUUCACUGUGUUCCAUUGGUAAUCAUUCCACAGUGUAUAUGUAAAUCAAAAGCCACAUGGUACACUUCAAAUAGAUACAACUAUAUUUAUCAAUAAUUUCUCAGUAAAAUUGGAAAAAAAGUAUGUAGUCCUUUGUCAUUUAUGAGAGUGAGCAGCUGGAAACAGUUAUUAUUAAUUAGUGUUAUCCCGAGUUUGUAUACAACAGUACACAUUUUAUCAUUAUAGAUUAAUAAAUAAGUUAAUAACUUAAUAAUAUAAAAGGGAACAAAGCACAUGGCCAGUGAUAAGCAUGCGGUGAUGCAUGGUCCAUCAGUUCUAUUCACGUUUUGUCCCUCGUAAGAAACAAAUCUCAGCUCUCUCCAGGUUGAGUCAGGGGAACUGCACAGGUAACACACACAGCAUUUUUAGUCUGGGUUUCAUUAAACAGUUUUCAUUAUGGUUUAAAGUGAAUAGUUUUGUCAAUGUGUUUAUGAAUUAAAGAAUGAAUGAAUGAAUAUUAAAUCUAUCGAUACAGCUUUUUUUUAAGGUUUGAAGAUUUUACAUUCACUUUCAUAAAUAUUUAUAAUUCCUUCUUGGGUUUGUACCACAGUGUAUAAACAUUCUUCUGUGGUAGAGAUCUAAGUUGUUAAUUCAAUGAAGCAACUCAUAGAAAGAUGUAAGGUGUAGUUUUUGUAUGUGCAGUGGAUAGUGGGUUCAUGGUUGUGCUUAUAUCUUUAAAGAAUGUACAAGUUAAAUGAAAAAGUAGGAAAGUUCUCCAAAAAAUUAACCAUCCUACGAUCUAUAGUUCUAGUUAUAGAACUAUCCUAUGAUCCAGCGGUUGUACUACUAGGUAUUUACCCAAAGGAUGCAAGAAUACUGAUUCAAAGAGGCACAUGUACCUGAUGUUUAAAGCAGCAUUAUGGGGGACAUGAUGCAUGGGGGACAAGAACAAAGAGGCAAACUAUAAAACAUACUCUUAACUCUAGAGAACAAACUGAGGGUUGCUGGAGGGGAGGUGGGUGGGGAGAUAGGCUAAAUGGGUGAUGGGUAUUAAGGAGGGCACCUGUUGGGAUGAGCAUUGGGUGUUCUAUGUAAGUGAUGAAUCACUAAACUCUACUCCUGAAACUAAUACUACACUAUAUGUUAACUAAUUGGAAUUUGUAUAAAAACAUGAAAAAAAAAAAGAGCCAAGCAAGGGCCAGUGAUGUGAAUGGAAUGCAUUCUGAAUGUGUCUUGUGGUUAAGUCACUUCUGUACUAUUGAAGUUCAUUUCAAAAGGAGAUUUGGUAUAUUACAUCCGCGAGAAUAAAUCUAUAGCUAGACAGUAAUUUGGAAGAAUCUGAUGAUGGAAUCCUGGGAAUUUAUUGCAUUAUUCUAAGAGAAUAAAUGAACAAAACCAGUAGAUGACAGAUAGGUAGGUAGAUAGGUAAAUAGAUGAAGAGAGUAAUUAAUGCUGGAUUAAUUGGGAAAAAUGUUGCAAGGUUGACAUUUUUGUUUAUACAAUUGGGAAACAUUGCAGUAUAUUAAGAAAUCAGUAGGUUAAAGGUUAACCCCUCUGGGUUGGCGUACUACAACUCAUUUGAGUGAGCACCAAAAUCACCUGCAAGAGUGGUUAAACUAUAGAUUUCCAGUCCCACCCUCAGCAUUUCUGCUUUGGGAGGAUUCAAGGUCGGGGGUGGGGGGGUGGUGGGGAUCCAAGGAUCUGCAUUGCAAAUAUGUUCGCACAGUGAUAAUGCGUCAUUUAGAAACAACGGUUUGAGAAUCACUGCUUUAAGUCAGAUGUAUGUAAUAGUUAAUGCCCUUGCUUUGGAUCAGUGGUAAGUACCAGGUUGUUUAUUUUAUUAAGACAAAAAAAAGAGGAAAACUAAGAAACAGACUCUUAACUACAGAGAACACACUGGUGGUUACCAGGGAGGAGGUGGGGGGGGGGGUAAAAUAGGUGAUGGGGAUUAAGGAGUGCUCCUGCGAUGAGCACCCAGUGUUGUAGGGAGGUGUUGAAUCACUCAACUCCACACUUGAAACUAAGUAAUAAUAAUAAUAAUAAUAAUAAUGAAAAACAAGGAGCAAGGUAAUAGAUACAUUAAUUAAUAAAUAUCUGAAACUUCAAGCAAAUGAAAGGAGAAAGCAUGAUUCAAUGGAGAAAAUAGCUCAUUCUUUUAAUAACAUCAUCUUUAUGCUCUGCAAACGGAUGCACCUGAACUGAUUACACAUUCUGUGUAGACUCCAAUGAUGAGGAACCAACGUUUAUGAUUAAUUUUUAAAUAAUGUUUACUUAUUUAUUUUGAGAGAGAGAGAGGGAGAAUGAGUGGGGGAGGGGCAGAGAGAGAGGAAGAGAGAAUCCCAAGCAGGCUCCAUGAUGUCAGCACAGAACCCAAUGCAGGACUCGAUCUCAUGAACCAUGAGAUCAUAACCUGAUCUGAAAUCAAGAAUCAGAUGGUUAACCAACUAAGCCACCCAGGUUCCCCUAAAGUUUAUGAUUACUUUGAUGUAGUAUUACUUGGGAUGAUUUUAUUUUAUUUUUUAAGUUUUUAUUUAAAUUCCAGCUAGUUAACGUACAGUGUAGGAUUAGCUUCAGGGGUACAGCAUAGUGAUUCAGUACCUCCAUAUGUCAUCCUGGGCUCAUCAUAACACGAGCCCUCCUUAAUCCCCAUCACCUCUUUCUCCCAUCCCCCACCCACCUCCCCUACUUGGGAUGAUUUUAAAAAUAGAUCAAAUCCAUGUCACUCCUUUUUAUAACUCUUUAAAUUUCUAUUUCAGUGUCUCCCUAAACACUCCUUAACUGAUAAAGUCGUAAACUAUUUUUGUUAUGAGGACGAAGCACAUAGGAGAUGGAACUAGUAGUCAGUGUCUUAGUUCUGAUGGGAGUGGUCUAGAUAUAUAAAUAUGCAAAUUACACGAAAAAGGCAAACCAUGGACCAAUGAUGCGAAUGGAAUGCAUUCUGAUCUAUUAUACCUUAUGAUCAAAACAUCUAUGAUGUACUGAGGUCCCGUGCAAAAAGGGAUUGAAGUGUUUAUACCUGUGGGAGUGAGCCUAUAUAGAGAUUACAGUAAUAGUCAAGGAUCAUGUUCUUAGUCUUUGGUGCUUUGUGGAUUUUGCUUUUAUUUCUUUUUGUAAUUAAACUUUUAAAAAUAUUUAUUUAUUUUUGAGAGAGAGAGAGAGAGAGAGAGAGAGAGCAGGGGAGGGGCGGAGAGGGACAGAGUCACAGAAUCCAGAACAGGCUCCAGGCUCUGAGCUCUCGGCACAGAGCCUGAUGCGGGGCUUGAACUCACGAGUGGUGAGAUCAUGACCUGAGCCUAAGUCAGGCACUCGACCAACUGAGCCACCCAGGUGCUGCCAUUUUGCUUUUAUUUUACUCAAUAAAUGAGAGGAACAAAUACGUCGGUGCAUAAAGGUGAAAAGAGUGAGGCAUAUCCAACUAUGAAAAUACGUGGUGAGGCAAGAAUUACUAUGAAUAUAGCUUGGAACCACUGGACUUCAUUAAUAAAGAGAUCAAGGGGGUUACAUUUUGGGUAGGGAGAAUACAGAUGAUGAUAUGUAAUAGUAUGUUCUUGCUUUGAGUUAGUGGUGAGUUCAAGUGGUUCAUUUACCAAGAGAAAAAGAAGGAAGUACCACUAUAAAAUAAUAAAUACCCAAGUGACUAAGAAAACGAAUCAGAAAAGUAGGUAUUAAUGGGAAUAUUGUCUCAGCAUUUUAUUAUCUGCAGUGAUAAGUAGAGGUUACUGAGUCGUGUAUAAGUUUUAUGUUUGAUUAAUAUUAAGAGAAAAAUAAAUAAAUGUUAUUAUAAGUUAAUAAGUACCUAAAUGACUUUGUAUAUGAAUGGUGGAAAGUCUGAUCAAUAGAGAGGAUGUCUCAAUCUUUCUAGCACCUUCUUUGCUUCGUCCUCUUCAGAAGGGAGGCUGGAGCUAAUUUCUGUUUACGCGUGAUCAAGAUUAUCACAUAGCCUCUGUGUCAGAGAAGAGACUAAAGUCAGUACCAGCCAAGAUCUCGUUUUCAUUCAGGUCAUUUGUUUAAGGGCUUGUACAGUAUUAUUAAAAAUUAUUACAUUAGUAAAAAAGUUGACUAUUGUCCAAUAACGAAUAGGAUAUAAAACAUGUUGAUUGAUAAUGUGCAACAUUGAGAUUGAUUAACAGAAGAAACAUAGUCCAUGUGGGAAAUGGGUGUAUAGGCAGAUGCUAGGGACAUUCAAGCAUCUUGCCCUUGAGGUUGUUUUGUAAGUCAUCUAAUUUUUUAUUAUUGUCAGACAACUAAUGAUGCAAUGGAUAACAAAUAUAGACACAAAUUAAGAGAAAAAAAAAGAAAAGAAACCCAAACAUGGACCAGGGGUGAUGGCUGGUGAUACAAGUCAUGGACGGGAUACAGGGAUACAAGUCAUGGAUGAAUGGAUGCACUUGGGGUGAUGUGAGCAUCGUCCAUGGCCACGAGCUCUGUGGUUGCAUGUAUGCAUUAAGAGCGUGGAGACCCAUGUGAGUAAUAGUCAAAGUUCUUGUGUGGCUUUGGGUGGUUUGCUUAAGAAUAUCCACUGUAUGUGAAUGAAUGACUUAAGAAACAAUUUAGAAGUGAACGGAGAGAAAGCCCGCCAAUCCUGGACCGAUGAUGACGGCUGGUGGCGUAUGAGUCAUGGAUGAUGGUGAAUAAUGUGUGUCUGAAACUCUGAGGUCCAACCGGGCAUUCUCUUUGUUUGACAGGAUGCUGCAGGCAGAAGUCAGGACUAUGCGAAGAUCUUGUUUUUGGCCUCUGUGUUUGUUCAUGCAUUUUCAUUCCGUUAUUAUAAUUGGAGGAAUGAAAAUAAGCAACAAAUAGACAAAGAUCCAUACGGCAAAGCAUGCUCUAAUUAUAAAAAUAUGUGGUGAGGCAAGACAUAGUAUUCAUAAAUUUGAAAAGAGUGAAGUCCGACAAGGAAUAAAUGGUUACAUGGCUGUUGAGUCUUUGGCUAAGGGUCAUCUAGACAAAAUAAAUAAUAGUCAGUGUUCAUUUCCUGGGUCAGGGGCAACGUCUAAGUUGUUCAUUU